GGUUGACUUUUUAAAUAUGGCGAUAAGGAAAAGGACAGAGUCAAGGAUAUCUCCUCCAUUUCUGGUUUGUGCAACAGACACUGGUGCAAUUUACUAAGGAAAGGAACACCAUGGAGCCAAACUUGUGGGAAGAAGACCCCGACUUGGCUUCUGAACAUUCCUUUGUGAUGUUCAGAUAGUGCUCUCAGGUAAAGAGAAGAAUUAGAGGAACUGACAGAAGUCGAGCUGGAGAGACACAACACUCUGUACAGACAAAGCCCAAAAAGCAAUCAGAUCUGACUUGCUCUAGUUUAUCCAUACAUGUGCCUGUAAGAAUCAACAACAACCAAAGACGGGAAACAACUGAAGCUGUACCACUGCGUCCCUUGGUAUUUGCGAUGCCAUCUGAACAGAUUUUUAAUGGUUUUCCAAAGAUGACUUGGCACCUCCCCAGGAAUACUGAAUCAUAA
rnacentral:lncRNA from 1 species